GAUGAAGAACGUAGUGAAAUGCGAUAAGUAGUGUGAAUUGCAGAAUUCAGUGAAUCAUCGAAUCUUUGAACGCACAUUGCGCCCUUUGGUAUUCCAAAGGGCAUGCCUGUUCGAGCGUCAUUUGUACCCUCAAGCUUUGCUUGGUGUUGGGCGUCUUGUCUCUAGCUUUGCUGGAGACUCGCCUUAAAGUAAUUGGCAGCCGGCCUACUGGUUUCGGAGCGCAGCACAAGUCGCACUCUCUAUCAGCAAAGGUCUAGCAUCCAUUAAGCCUUUUUUUCAACUUUUGACCUCGGAUCUGGUAGGGAUACCCGCUGAACUUAAGCAUAUCAAUAAGCGGAGGA
rnacentral:misc_RNA from 1 species